rnacentral:rRNA from 1 species
AACCCAGACUCCUACGGGAGGCAGCAGUGGGGAAUAUUGCACAAUGGGGGAAACCCUGAUGCAGCGACGCCGCGUGAGUGAAGAAGUAAUUCGUUAUGUAAAGUUCUAUCAGCAGGGAAGAAAAUGACGGUACCUGAGUAAGAAGCCCCGGCUAACUACGUGCCAGCAGCCGCGGUAAUACGUAGGGGGCAAGCGUUAUCCGGAUUUACUGGGUGUAAAGGGAGCGCAGGCGGCGCGCCAAGUCUGAUGUGAACCCCCGGGGCUCAACCCCGGGCAUGCAUUGGAAACUGGCGGGCUGGAGUGCCGGAGAGGUAAGCGGAAUUCCUAGUGUAGCGGUGAAAUGCGUAGAUAUCAGGAGGAACACCGGUGGCGAAGGCGGCCUGCUGGACUGCGACUGACGUUGAGGCCCGAAAGCGUGGGGAGCAAACAGGAUUAGAUACCCGGGUAGA